AGCGAUAAGGGAACCUCGAGUGCCAGGUUACAAAUCUGGCUGUCGAGAUGCCUAAAAAGCAUUUCAUAGCAAGGGCCGGGCAAGACCGGUGCCAGCCGCCGCGGUAACACCGGCGGCUCGAGUGGUAACCGUUAUUAUUGGGUCUAAAGGGUCUGUAGCCGGCCGGAUAAGUCUCUUGAGAAAUCUGGCAGCUUAACUGUCAGGCUUUCAGGAGAUACUGUCUGGCUCGAGGCCGGGAGAGGUGAGAGGUACUUCAGGGGUAGGGGUGAAAUCUUGUAAUCCUUGAAGGACCACCAGUGGCGAAGGCGUCUCACCAGAACGGACCUGACGGCAAGGGACGAAAGCUAGGGGCACGAACCGGAUUAGAUACCCGGGUAGUCCUAGCCGUAAACGAUACUCGCUAGGUGUCGGCCACGGUGCGACCGUUGUCGGUGCCGU
rnacentral:rRNA from 1 species